AUUGAACGCUGGCGGCAUGCCUUACACAUGCAAGUCGAACGGUAGCGGGCCUUCGGGUGCCGACGAGUGGCGAACGGGUGAGUAAUGUAUCGGAACGUACCUUUCAGUGGGGGAUAACGUAGCGAAAGUUGCGCUAAUACCGCAUAUUCUGUGAGCAGGAAAGCAGGGGAUCGCAAGACCUUGCGCUGAUUGAACGGCCGAUAUCAGAUUAGCUAGUUGGUGAGGUAAAGGCUCACCAAGGCGACGAUCUGUAGCGGGUCUGUGAGGAUGAUCCGCCACACUGUAACUGAGACACGGUUCAGACUCCUACGGGAGGCAGCAGUGGGGAAUUUUGGACAAUGGGGGCAACCCUGAUCCAGCCAUGCCGCGUGAGUAAAGAAGGCCCUCGGGUUGUAAAGCUCUUUCGGCCGGGAAGAAAUCGUAUCAGCUAAUACCUGGUGCGGAUGACGGUACCGGCAUAAGAAGCACCGGCUAACUACGUGCCAGCAGCCGCCGUAAAAC
rnacentral:rRNA from 1 species